UAAGAUACAGAACACGAGAGCCUUCCGCCCGCUUGCAGCCCGAUGCGAGCGCUAGCGCCGCCGCUUCCAAUCCCGUGCGUCUCCCUUGCCUCGUGCGCUUCUCCUUCCACCUCCGCGCGCGAAAUCCAUCUUUCCCUCGCUCCAAAUCGCUUGGUGCGCGCCAAAUCGAAGCUCUAAAGUCUCCAGCUUCCCCCAAAUCGCCACCACCCCAAACCCUAGAACAGCCGCCGGCGCUGCAUCAAGGAGAUGGGCCAGCAGUCCAAAAGGACGCGUGCGCCGGCGCCUCAGGUCGUCCCGCCGUCGCUGCCUCAAUUCGUUCCGCCGUUGAUGCCGCAUCUCGUCCCGCCGUCGGCGCCACACCUCGUCCCGCCCCCGUCGGCGCCGCACCUCGUCCCGCCGCCGUCGGCGCCACACCUCGUCCCGCCGC
rnacentral:lncRNA from 1 species